rnacentral:rRNA from 1 species
UACGAAGGGUGCUAGCGUUGCUCGGAAUCACUGGGCGUAAAGCGCGCGUAGGCGGCUUUUUAAGUCAGGGGUGAAAUCCUGGAGCUCAACUCCAGAACUGCCUUUGAUACUGAGAAGCUUGAGUCCGGGAGAGGUGAGUGGAACUGCGAGUGUAGAGGUGAAAUUCGUAGAUAUUCGCAAGAACACCAGUGGCGAAGGCGGCUCACUGGCCCGGUACUGACGCUGAGGUGCGAAAGCGUGGGGAGCAAACAGG